CAGCCAGCCAGCCAGGCAGGCAGCAAGUCAGGCAGCCAGUCAGCCAGCCAGCCAGCCAACCAGAAAGCCAGCCAACCAGUCAGUCAGUCCCUGACCCUCAGCAGGUAGAUGUGUUAGUCCCUGUGUUAGUCCCUGACCCUCAGCAGGUAGAUGUGUUAGUCCCUGUGUUAGUCCCUGUGUUAGUCCCUAACCCUCAGCAGGUAGAUGUGUUAGUCCCCGUGUUAGUCCCUGACCCUCAGCAGGUAGAUGUGUUAGUCCCUGUGUUAGUCCUGACCCUCAGCAGGUAGAUGUGUUAGUCCCUGUGUUAGUCCUGACCCUCAGCAGGUAGAUGUGUUAGUCCCUGUGUUAG
rnacentral:lncRNA from 1 species